rnacentral:rRNA from 1 species
GCAUUGUUGGCCGUCCUUGUUGAGCAUCACAACAAUGGUGACCAUGCUCAAAAUGGUUGGAAGCCACAUGUGUAUAAUGCUUGCAUUAAGCAUGUCAAGGAUACAUGUGAUGUUGACAUUACGAAGGAAAACAUAACAGGAAGAAUCAAAACAUUUGACAAGCAGUAUGAGAUCAUUACCAAGAUGCUUGCACAGAGUGGCUUUGGAUGGGAUUGGGUAAAGAACAUGGUGUCGGUUGAUAGUGACGAAGUGUGGUCUCGAUAUGUGGAGGCUAACAAGGACGCACGUGCCUAUAGGAACAAGGUAGUGCUCAAUUGGGAGUCUAUCAAUACCAUAUAUUCAAAAGAUCAUGCAACCGGUGUAGGUGCUAGGACAGGAGCUGAAUGUGUUCAAGAACCACAAGACACACCCGUAGUUGAAGAAUCUCCUGAGGUGCCUCAAAAGAGGCAACACACCGGGGAUGCUAUCUUGUGUAUGAUGGGAAAGAUGAAGAUGUCUUUCAAUGAUGCUUUGAAGACAACCGAGCCACUUCCUAUGCCAAAGGUGACUCCUCCAACAGAAAUCCUUGCUGCACUA